rnacentral:rRNA from 1 species
GACGAACGCUGGCGGCGUGCUUAACACAUGCAAGUCGAGCGGUAAGGCCCUUUCGGGGGUACACGAGCGGCGAACGGGUGAGUAACACGUGGGUGACCUGCCCUCAGCUCUGGGAUAAGCCUGGGAAACCGGGUCUAAUACCGGAUAUGACUCCAUGACGCAUGUUGUGGGGGUGGAAAGCCUUGUGCGGCUGAGGAUGGGCCCGCGGCCUAUCAGCUUGUUGGUGGGGUGAUGGCCUACCAAGGCGACGACGGGUAGCCGGCCUGAGAGGGCGACCGGCCACACUGGGACUGAGACACGGCCCAGACUCCUACGGGAGGCAGCAGU